CUCCGCAUAAUUUUCAUGGUAUUUCCCUGAACUGUCAACACGGGGCCACCUGUAACUGCUUCACCAUUUAUUUGCCAUACAAGGCAAUCACCUGCCUGUGGCUGGCAUAAAUCCAUGACGCAGUCAUGAGCCCUGGGGACUUUCCCCUUGGCUCUCAGCAUCACUCAUGCUGCACCACAGGUACUUCCACCCAUAUAGAAGGUGAACUAUGUGCUACAAUGAGAAGAACACAGGAGCCUAUCAAAAACACAAGCAAAGCAACGACCUUUGUGCCAUUGCAGGAAUCAACAUGAUUGCAGAGCAGUCUUGCUGCUGCAGGACUACACGAGGAUACAACAGGAGACUUUUAAUUUGGUUUAUCAGCAGGUCAUAUGAAUUUCAGCAAAGUGUUCCAGUCUACCUCAUCUUUUUUUUUUUUUUUUUCAUUUUUAGAAAAUAAAUCAGACUUCAUAACAUAGGCAAGAUGUUAUGAGAAACGCCCCUGAGUUCUGGUCUGAAAAUCACCAUGUCUCUGGAAAGGAGAAGGCUGGAGCACCCCUCCUACGAAGAGAGGCUGACGGAGCUGGGCUUGCUCAGCCUGGAGAAGAGAAGGCUCCAGAGAGACCUCACUGUGUUCAGCCAGUACUUAAAGGGAGAUUAUAAACAGGAGGGGAAUGAACUUUUAAAACAGGCCCCUCCAGAGCACAACAUUGAUGCCAAGACCACAAAUGGAAGCCACAAGGAGGAAAAUGAUAAGCAUCUUUGCAUUUCCUGGCACUCAGGCUGCCUCAGCAAGGAAUUCAUUCCCUGCCUGAACUGCUCAGCAGUAUGCACACCAUUUUACAUAGAGAAAUGGGACUGGAGGAGGAACGUAGCCCACAGAGUGCUUCAGUAUGAUGCCAUCCCCCACCUGAGCUGUUUCUGCAUCUGGCCAUCAAAGCUCUUGUCAUGUGGACGAAAUCUUGAGACACAUUCAAGACGAUUUACUAUUCUGCUCUACAAAUUGGAUAUUUACAGGCCUGGGUUGAACAUCUAUAUUCCUCUACCCAGAGGUAGCACAUAUUGACCCAAUUUCUGUGCUUAAUACUAUGCUGUAAAUCCAGACCAACUUCACAUAUUUCAGCAGAUUUACUUCAAGGUGACUGAGAUUAGAACAUGACGUAGAGAAAUAUGUUGCUUCAGCCACAACUAUCUUUUCACUUGUUGGUUUAACACCCCUGUGCUGCUUAAUUAGGGGAAUGCUUCAGAUCUGAUCUUAAACAAACCAAUAAACCCAAAGCAAUAACCACCUUAUCUACUUCACUCCGACCUUCGCUGAAAGGCCUCCUCAGCCUUCACCUCAUAAUUUUAUGCUGACUGUGGGGAACAUCCUAGAGCCAGAAGGAGAUCAGAGAGGACAGCACCAUAUCUCCCAGUUACUACCUUUGGCCAGGCUUUUGCUCAUUGCACUCCUCGAGUUACUUGCUUUUUCUUGCCUUUUAUAUGAUUUUGAAAGGCAAACAGCAACACGUUUUGUUUCCAGACACUAACAUACUUUAAAGUUUGCACUCAACCCGUAGGAUUUGCAGGGCAACAGUCGUCAUCACUGUCGCCAUCGUCAAAGUGUCCUGGAAACCCAUUCCUGUAGAGACGGCAAGGCAGAAAGGGUUCAGCAUGGCAGUAGAUGGCGCUGAAGACCUUGGAGCACACCAAGGAGCCUUGGAUGACCCACACGUCUUCCGAGGCCUCUCAAGGAGCCUUUUCCCCCUCUGUUCCUUUGCUUUCCGAAAGAGCAACCACCACACAGGGACGCGAGAAGACCUUCCCAAUGAAAUUUGGGCCACUGGAGCUCAGUGCAGAGCAGGCUAAUCUUAGAGAAACUCUUAGUAGAUGGGGGAUCACACACUGUGGAUGAGAGUUACUGGCUCUAACAGGGAGCGUGAAAAUGGCAGCAAACCAUGCACCAUGGAACAGCCCUCUUUCUGGGUAGGUGUAGUGCCUUCUCCAACACUUUGCUACUCCCUCAUUUGCAGAGUUCAGCAUGGUUGCAGAGAGCUGAUGGCCUUCUUUCUCUGAUUGCAAUAAUCUCCCCAGACGCAAUUACAUUUAUAGCUUCACAGGUGUGUCUGCAAUUACAGAAGUGCUGCAAGUCAGCUCCAAGCCACUGUCUGUCACUGUUACCACGAGACUGCUGGGAACAUGUGACUACCUGUACCGUGAGAUUUCAGGUCAUCUGAACCUUCAUUCUUUCUCUUAUCUGAUAGAACAUGUCGUAUCUUAUGUGUAGCUCAAUGAAUCUGAAAAAAUAUUACCUUGACCUCCCUGACUUCCUUGUCUGUUCUUCCUGGUUUCAGGGGAAAAGUAGAAGAAAAUAAUUCCUUGGUCUUUUAUGGAGCAAAGGAUGUACAUACGUUAUAUCCAGUAGAAUGCUAAACUAUAUGGUGCACUGGCUUUGGGAUUACAUUGGUUUCCUAGGUGAGAAAUGCAGAUUUGUGUCAUUCCAGUGAUGGGUGGUUCUGACACUCUCCAGAGUUGCCUGACUCCAGCUCCCUAUCCAGUCAAUGGAGUUGAUGGUGUCAGUGGUAAAAAGAUGUUCAUAUCACCUCCAUCUAAAGUAGAGAUCACAUCUACUGCUUUCACAGCAAGCCAGGCAUCACCCACCUUUCUCUUACACUGCAAUGGGGGCACUGAAGCAUGUUGCAGGAUCUGCAGUGGGAAAUCUCAACUAAGGUUUGUGUCUUCUUAGUAAAUUGCUG
ensembl:lncRNA